CAAAAGCCAUGCUUUGAUCUGAAACCCUCUCUGUCUCCCUCUCUGCAUCUCUACUGAAGAGACCAGGGAACACGGGCUGAAUGGACAACAGGACCGCCACUAUCAGGUCUCACAUAUCACUGACAAACUGAAAGUGGACUUGGGGA